ensembl:lncRNA
AUGUGUGAUUGCAGGUGUGGGAGGAGACAUGAUUUCGCUAUUCAGGAAGUGCAAGCAGUGACAACACUUUUAUUUUAUUUAUUUUAUUCAACGAUGGAUGUACCACAAUUAGGACCCAUCCAUGACUGGAUAGCUCUUCAGAGGACACAUGAACAUUUAAUUAUGGAAGCUGGGCAGUUGGCAGAACCCACCAGCACUGAUGAUAUGAUUAACCUGAAUUACCUAUUGGCUGGGGGAAGCUAUGGUGCAUACCAGUUCAGCAAUACUUGUGUUAUAGACUCCAUUUUGGCUGGAAUUCAUGUUCUUGCCAAAAUGUAUCCCCAAAUUCGAGAUUUGUUCACGAGGGAUAACAAAAUCAAUGCGGUUAUACGUUUCCUAGACUUCGCCAAGGUCAAUGAGGCAAAGGCACUGUGGCUUAUUAACUUGAGCCUUCGUAAGGAAAAAAACAUCAUGCAAAAUGAAUUUAUAGAUAUCAGAGGUUAUGUUAGAGAUCACUUGUCAAACUUCAUUGAGCUGGUAUGUGCCAGCUUCGUCUAUGAUGACUCGCAAUCAAGCUCCACACCAUGUGACACAGUUCUCAACAACAUAUUGAGGAAGUUUGAGGAUUACGGUGAGGUAAAACCCUUAGGCACUUCUCGUCAUGAACCCAAACUCAUCCUGGUAGACAUUGAUGACCGGAUGUGUAUCCUACCUCCCCUCUCCAUCACGGAUGAUUAUGAAAGGACAUACGAGCUCCAGUUCCUCCUGAUGGGACAGAGUACACCCCUGUCCAACCACAUGGUCCUGUUCCUGUGCACUCAGCUGACUGGCAGAUGGAUGAUCUAUGACAACAUGAAAACACCCCUGGUCCAGGACAUUGGUGUGAGUGAACUACAGAGAGCUACAGAGAGGGACAAGUAUGUUUCCUAUCUUGCUGCAUAUGUGAAGAAAGAAUAAUAAUAAGGCUGCUUCGGGAGUCAAGGGCAUCCUCUUUAGAUUUUAGUUCUGUAUUUCCGAGAUCCUGUCCCAACUACAACUAUUAGCAUUAUAAAAAAAUCCCCAUAAAAUUCUGUCAAUUUAAGAUAGAGAUGUUUUUUUGCAUUGAAUGCAUCUCAAUCCACCGCAUACGUCAAUGUCACUCUUCCGCAUCGGUGGUAAAAGGUGACGGAGCUUAAGCCAUGUUUGUCAGACCAUGAGACAUCCCGAAAAUCGGUCUUUUCACAAAAUCGUCUGUAGUGUUUGAACAGUUUAGCCUAUAAAACUAUUAUAACCCCUCUAUUGAAAGAUGAGACUCUCGCGAACACAAUGGUAUUUGCCGUUUGGGACACGUCUGAAGUCGGUACAGCCGAUCUGCCAACAUCUGUCUGUAGUGUCUGAACAGUUUGGAGUACACACUAAUGCUUCUCUGUGGAAAGGUGACAUGCCUCACAAGACUCCUCUGAAGGUGUCCCGGUACCAGUUGAAAAAAUGAGUACAAGUACAAUACCGUUCAAAAGUUUGGGGUCACUUAGACAUUUCCAUGUUUUUGAAAGAAACUUUUUGUCCAUUAAAAUAACAUCAGAUUGAUCAGAAAUACAGUGUAGAUAUUGUUAAUGUUGUAAAUGACUAUUGUAGCUGGAAACAGCAGAUUGUUUUUUAAUGGAAUAUCUACAUAGGCGUAAAGAGGCCCAUUAUCAGCAGCCAUCACUCCUGUGUUCCAAUGGCGCGUUGUUAGCUAAUCCAAGUGUAUCAUUUUAAAAGGCUAAUUGAUCAUUAGAAAACCCUUUUGCAAUUAUGUUAGCAAAGCUGAAAACUGUUGUACUGAUUUAAAAAGCAAUAAAACUGGCAUUCUUUAGACUGAAAUUCAUCAGUCUAUUCUUGUUCUGAGAAAUUAAGGCUAUUCCAUGCAAGAAAUUGCCAAGAAACUGAAGAUCUCGUACAACGCUGUGUACUACUCCCUUCACAGAACAGCACAAACUAGCCUCGCUACUUUUAUAGCCUCGCUACUGUAUAUAGCCUGUCUUUUUACUGUUGUUUUAUAUAUUUACUUAACCUAUUGUUCACCUAAUACCUUUUUUGCACUAUUGGUUAGAGCCUGUAAGUAAGCAUUUCACUGUAUGGUCUACAUCUGUUGUAUUCGGUGCACAUGACAAAUAAACUUUGAUUUGAUUUGAAACUGUAUAUAACCAGAAUAGAAAGAGUAGGAUGCCCUGGUGCACAGCUGAGCAAGAGGACAAGUACAUUAGAGUGUCUAGUUUGAGAAACAGACGCCUCACAAGUCCUCAACUGGCAGCUUCGUUAAAUCGUACCCGCAAAACACCAGUCUCAACGUCCACAGUGAAGAGGCGAGUACAGGAUGCUGGCCUUCUAGGCAGAGUAUCUCAGACUGGUCAAUAAAAAGAAAAGAUUAAGAUGGGCAGAAGAAUAGACACUGGACAGAGGACCUCUGCCUAGAAGGCCAGCAUCCCGGAGUCGGCUCUUCGCUGUUGACAUUGAGACUGGUGUUUUGGAACACAGGAGUGAUGAUUAUGAGCCUCUGUACGUCUAUGUAGAUAUUCCAUUAAAAUUCAGCCGUUUCCAGCUACAAUAGUCAUUUUCAACAUUAACAAUGUCUACAUUGUAUUUCUGAACAAUUUGAUGUUAUUUUAAUGGACAAAAAAUUUGCUUUUCUUUAAAAAAUGAGGACAUUUCUAAGUGAACCCAAAUAUAUAGACAUAUAGAGACUGUUUAGUGCCAAAAAUAAGGGGUUAAAUACAUGUAAAAAUAAAAUAAAAACGUUUUAAUUAAAUACAUUAAUGUUUCCUUAUCUAUCUUGUAUCUCGCCGAUAUAGGACAGACAUUUCAGAACAAACUUCAUUUUAUUUAUUUACAUGGAACAACUAUCUGUUGUUCCAUGUAUUGAAUCAGUUACUCAAUGCGUUUGAAUGGGCUAAUAGCAGUAAGGCCCAAACUUGUUUUGUAUCAAAUAUUUUUUACAAUAUUUUUGGGGGAUACUUCAAGGGGUCUUAAAAUUCUAAAUCAAAUAGCGAAAUGAUCGUUGGUAUAACCUUCUUAAAACAAUUCCAUGUAGCUUUGUAGAACCCCCUCCCCCAUGACUGUACGUCACUUUGGAUAAAAGCGUCUGCUAAAUGGCGUUUAACUUAUUGUCAUAUUAUUUUUAUAAUGUUACUUAAUGUAAUAAGCUCUUCAGACUGCUCUUUUUUUUAAUGUUGACAUCAGUUAUAGCCAGGAAUAACAUACACGAUUGACUAGUGUUAAGUGUUGUCACAGAGAGAGGUCUAAGAAUGCAUUGAUGCUAUGGAACCUUUUAUUCCUGCAACUAUGAACAUUGAUUUUACAAUAAUUGUGGUCCUGUCGCACAGACGAGCUACUAUAACAGGAAGAAACUGAGUAACUGACACUUCAGAUGUUUUUAAAUGUUUGUUCUGUUUGAAUAAGCUUAGCUAUCACUAACAAGCAGUAGCUUGUUUCAUAUGGCCAGUAUUAAUAUGUUUACCGUUUAUUAUUGACAGUUUCUUUGCCAGUUCAUUUGAUAUUUCCUUUAUAUAUUCUGUACUACAGUAUAUGCUCACACUGUACAGAGCUGUGAAUGGGUAUGUGAACCCCUGCACUGUUUUCACAUAUUAAAAUGUGAAAUAUUUGUUUGAAUAAAAAAUAAUACAAUAU